UGGCUUCGACACGCUACAACACAGUUAUUAAAAGAAACCUAUUACAGGGGUUCCAAGUUUUGAGGGUUCCUAAAGAUUCUAGUGUCCUAAAAGAUGAUCAAGGGACCUAAAUCAUAUUCAAAUAUACUAAAAUACUCUCCAUCCCGUAGAUACCUAAACAUAAACCAAAAAAACCAAAAUCAGUUUCAUUAUAUUCCUUCACCUCCAUCGCUUCUCACCCUCUUCUUCUCCCCCAUCGCUUUCCAUCACUUCUUUUUUCAUUAAUUGUUGAUUAUCAAAAUUAUUCAUCGUCGAUUAAAACUUCUAUAAAGAUUAUGGGACGUACUGAUGAUCCUAAGAGAAACAAGAAUCGAAAACCAGUUAAUCCAUCACGUGCAAGACCAAAUGCUCAAUCCGAUGAAGAUGAUGAAUUGAACAAUCAAAGAGUUGAGACACCAUUUAAUCCACCCGAAAUGACUUCAAUAAGGAAAAAUUACCUAGAUUCCCCACUGGAUAUGGAUAAUUCCACACCGUAGUUGUAACUGAGUUUGUGUACGGUUUGGUAUUCAAACCGUAUCUGUAUUUUGAAAAAAAAUCCACACCAUAGGUUAUAUGUUUGGUAACUGAGUUUGUAUACGCUUUGGUUUCCAAACCGUAUGUGUGAUUUCGGAUUGAGUUUCACACCGUAUGUUAUGUUUUCAGUACUAUGUCAGGUGUUAAAUGGUAAACUGCUCCUAUUUUGUUGGAUUGUAAAUAUGCUCGUAAUACUCUUUCCCAUGUAUGUAUGUAAAUAGAACACAGAUCAUGGUGAACUGGCACCUUAGCUAAAUCCAGUUGACAAUUGGUUCAUGUAUAUAUCUUGGUUAAUUAGUGUGUCCUCUUUGAAUUUCGGGUAUGUAAAGGAUGAGACAUCUCCAAAUAAUAUAAUGACUUGAGAGUUUCUUGAUGAAUCCAUCAGAUGAUUCUGGAUUGACCUGCAAGCCAACUUGCAGACAUCAGAUGAUGAAUGAACUCCUGUUUCACUUUUUCAUUUGAUCUGUGAGGAUGAGAGUCCUUGCCAUUUUAAUCUUUGUAAUAACUGCAGCUUUAUCUUGAACCUCUAUUUAAUUAUUUUAAUCUUUGUUUUCAAACA